rnacentral:rRNA from 1 species
ACGAAGGGUGCAAGCGUUAAUCGGAAUUACUGGGCGUAAAGCGUGCGUAGGCGGUUGUUUAAGUCUGCUGUGAAAUCCCCGGGCUCAACCUGGGAAUGGCAGUGGAUACUGGACAGCUAGAGUGUGUCAGAGGAUGGUGGAAUUCCCGGUGUAGCGGUGAAAUGCGUAGAGAUCGGGAGGAACAUCAGUGGCGAAAGCGGCUUCCUGGUCCAGCACCGACGUUCAGGCACGAAAGCGUGGGGAGCAAACAGGA